GACGAACGCUGGCGGCGUGCUUAACACAUGCAAGUCGAACGGUAAGGCCCUUCGGGGUACACGAGUGGCGAACGGGUGAGUAACACGUGGGUGAUCUGCCCUGCACUUCGGGAUAAGCCUGGGAAUCUGGGUCUAAUACCGGAUAGGACUCCUGGCUUCAUGGUUGGGGGUGGAAACUUUUGCGGUGUGGGAUGGGCCCGCGGCCUAUCAGCUUGUUGGUGGGGUAAUGGCCUGCCAAGGCGACGACGGGUAGCCGGCCUGAGAGGGUGACCGGUCACACUGGGACUGAGAUACGGCCCAGACUCCUACGGGAGGCAGCAGUGGGGAAUAUUGCACAAUGGGCGCAAGCCUGAUGCAGCGACGCCGCGUGAGGGAUGACGGCCUUCGGGUUGUAAACCUCUUUCAGCUAUGACGAAGCGCAAGUGACGGUAGUAGCAGAAGAAGGACCGGCCAACUACGUGCCAGCCGCCGCCGUAA
rnacentral:rRNA from 1 species